AACGGCGAGUGAAGCGGGAACAGCUCAAAUUUGAAAUCUGGCCCUCGGGUCCGAGUUGUAAUUUGUAGAGGAUGCUUUUGGUGCGGUGCCUUCCGAGUUCCCUGGAACGGGACGCCUUAGAGGGUGAGAGCCCCGUACGGUUGGACGCCUAGCCUCUGUAAAGCUCCUUCGACGAGUCGAGUAGUUUGGGAAUGCUGCUCUAAAUGGGAGGUAUAUUUCUUCUAAAGCUAAAUACUGGCCAGAGACCGAUAGCGCACAAGUAGAGUGAUCGAAAGAUGAAAAGCACUUUGAAAAGAGGGUUAAAUAGCACGUGAAAUUGUUGAAAGGGAAGCGUUUAUCACCAGACUUUUUCUAGGGGGAUCAUCCGGUGUUCUCACCGGUGCACUUCCCCUAGUUGAGGCCAGCAUCGGUUUUCGGAGGGGGAUAAAAGUUUCGGGAAUGUGACUCCCCCGGGAGUGUUAUAGCCCGUUACAUAAUACCCUUCUGGGGACCGAGGUUCGCGCAUCUGCAAGGAUGCUGGCAUAAUGGUGAUCAACGACCCGUCUUGAAACACGGACCAAGGAGUCGAACAUUUAUGCGAGUGUUUGGGUGUCAAACCCUCACGCGUAAUGAAAGUGAACGGAGGUGAGAGCCCUUACGGGUGCAUCAUCGACCGAUCCUGAUGUCUUCGGAUGGAUUUGAGUAAGAGCAUAACUGUUCGGACCCGAAAGAUGGUGAACUAUGCGUGGAUAGGGUGAAGCCAGGAGAAAUCCUGGUGGAGGCUCGCAGCGGUUCUGACGUGCAAAUCGAUCGUCAAAUCUGCGCAUGGGGGCGAA
rnacentral:rRNA from 1 species